AGAGUUUGAUCCUGGCUCAGAUUGAACGCUGGCGGCAGGCUUAACACAUGCAAGUCGAGCGGGGAGAUGUAGCUUGCUACAUUUCCUAGCGGCGGACGGGUGAGUAAUGCUUAGGAAUCUGCCUAUCAGUGGGGGACAACAUUCCGAAAGGAAUGCUAAUACCGCAUACGUCCUACGGGAGAAAGCAGGGGAUCUUCGGACCUUGCGCUAAUAGAUGAGCCUAAGUCAGAUUAGCUAGUUGGUGGGGUAAGGGCCUACCAAGGCGACGAUCUGUAGCGGGUCUGAGAGGAUGAUCCGCCACACUGGGACUGAGACACGGCCCAGACUCCUACGGGAGGCAGCAGUGGGGAAUAUUGGACAAUGGGCGCAAGCCUGAUCCAGCCAUGCCGCGUGUGUGAAGAAGGCCUUUUGGUUGUAAAGCACUUUAAGCGAGGAGGAGGCUACUUGGAUUAAUACUCUAGGAUAGUGGACGUUACUCGCAGAAUAAGCACCGGCUAACUCUGUGCCAGCAGCCGCGGUAAUACAGAGGGUGCGAGCGUUAAUCGGAUUUACUGGGCGUAAAGCGUGCGUAGGCGGCUUUUUAAGUCGGAUGUGAAAUCCCUGAGCUUAACUUAGGAAUUGCAUUCGAUACUGGGAAGCUAGAGUAUGGGGAGAGGAUGGUAGAAUUCCAGGUGUAGGCGGUGAAAUGCGUAGAGAUCUGGGAGGGAAUACCGAUGGCGAAAGCAGCCAUCUGGCCUAUUACUGACGCU
rnacentral:rRNA from 1 species